rnacentral:misc_RNA from 1 species
GAUGAAGAAAGUAGCGAAAUGCGAUAAGUAAUGUGAAUUGCAGAAUUCAGUGAAUCAUCGAAUCUUUGAACGCACAUUGCGCCCGCCAGCAUUCUGGCGGGCAUGCCUGUUCGAGCGUCAUUUCAACCCUCGAGCCCCCCCGGGGGCCUCGGUGUUGGGGGACGGCACACCAGCCGCCCCCGAAAUGCAGUGGCGACCCCGCCGCAGCCUCCCCUGCGUAGUAGCACACACCUCGCACCGGAGCGCGGAGGCGGUCACGCCGUAAAACGCCCAACUUUCUUAGAGUUGACCUCGGAUCAGGUAGGAAUACCCGCUGAACUUAAGCAUAUCAAUAAGCGGAGGA